CGAUACGGACAAAAAAUGUAUGCCUCUCGUUGUUGGUAAAACAUAUCUGUUGAGAAUAGAUCUACUACCAAGUCUCAGGAUGGCAGCUAAAACACAGAAACUCAGCUUGAAGCGUGAAGUGGGGCUUAUUGGUGCUAUCUCAUUCAUUGCUGGGACCAUGAUGGGAUCUGGAAUUUUUAUGUCCCCUCAGUCUGUGCUGGUCAACAUAGGAAGCCCAGGAGCCAGCCUGGUGAUCUGGGCAGCCUGUGGUCUGCUGGCCACGUUGGGUUCCCUCUGCUAUGCUGAACUGGGCACUGUCAUUUCUGAAUCUGGGGCAGAGUACAUAUAUAUUCUGCGGAUAUUUGGCCAAGUAGUUGCCUUCAUGUUUGUCUUUAGCUUCGUCAUUGUGAUGAGACCUGCCAGUGCAACAGGGAUAGCACUGAGCUUUGCUGAAUAUGCAGUGGCUCCUUUCUACCAUGACUGUACCCCACCAGAGCUGGUGGUCAAGUGUGUGGCUGCAGCAGGGAUUUUGGUGUUAGCAAUUGUGAACAGUAUGAAUGUACGUCUGGCUAUGUUCAUCCAGGUAUUUUCCAUGGUGAUCAAGCUGGUGGCCUUGGCAGUGAUAAUUAUUGGAGGUGUGGUGCUGCUUUUCAAGGGGAACACUGAAAACUUUGAGGAUUCCUUUAAAGGGACCAAUAUGGAAAUCAGUUCCAUUGGGAUUUCUCUUUAUCAGGGCCUGUGGUCCUAUGAUGGCUGGAACACUUUGAAUUAUGUCACAGAAGAACUAAAACGGCCUGAGGUAAAUCUGCCCAGGGCAGUUAUAAUUGCCAUCCCCAUGGUAACCAUGCUGUAUCUACUAGUCAAUGUGAGCUACCUGGCUGUCAUGACGCCAAGAGAACUGAUGUCGUCGAAUGCAGUGGCUGUCACCUGGGGGAAUAAGGUGCUCGGGAGCUGGGGAUGGGUGAUGUCUAUCGCAGCCGCUUUGUCUGCUUUCGGCUCCCUGAAUGGAACAUUCUUUAGUGGCGGCCGGGUGUGCUUUGUGGCUGCAAGAGAGGGACACAUGCCUGAUAUUCUGUCCAUGGCCCAUGUGAAUCGACUGACCCCCUCUCCAGCUCUGAUCUUCACCACGGCUAUCUCACUCCUGGUUCUCAUCCCUGGUGACUUUCAGAGCAUUGUGAACUUCUUCAGUUUCACUGCCUGGUUCUUCUAUGCAAUCACUCUGUCUGGGCUCCUCUACCUCAAGAUCAAGAAACCUGAACUUCCCAGGCCAUAUAGGUGUCAGCAAAGUUAAAGACCUUUACGAAAUACCAAUACAUGACAGAGAGAAAAAAUGACGCAACUGGGACAUCCAACCUCAGGAAUGGCCCCAAUGUCAUGUCAGGUGGAACUCGAUGUCCUACUAGAAUGCAGCUUCGUUUUUCACACGGCGGAUUGUGCCUUCUGUGAGAUGUUGGUCAUCGACCCCCAGGGAGAGGCUGUGUAUAGACAGGCUGCAGGAGCUGAGGCCUUCCAGGCUGCAAUGGAGAAGUUUCACCCAGGACAUCCCACCCCUGAGGUCAAAUAGGUGAAAGAGUUCAUGGAGACCAUGUUGGGAGACUGCUCAAGGGAUGAGGAUAUGACUUUCCUGAUACUAAGGGUCAGAAAAACUCUCUUGGAGGGGAACCAAGAUGCUGAGAGCCCCAUCCAGAAACGUGUGGCAGCUUAUCUGGUGCUUAUGAAGAGUCCUGACAAUGUGCUGCUUAGCAAGGUGAUCACCAUGCUGAAGGAUGAGCAGGACCCACAGGUCAGAAGCUUUGUGGCCUGCCGCCUUGACAACAUCUGCCACUCUGUUGACACCAAAAUGCAACAAAUAAGACAGUUAGUAUAUCGAGGAGGCAUUGCAUCAGCACUCUGUUAAUAACCACUUCGCCACAAUGUCCCGCACCUGCAAAAUGGACACCGCCUUGGGCUCCAUAAAGAGCAACAAGAUCUUUGAUUCCACUGCAUCCCUGCCAAAGGAAGUCCUGCUGGAGACCACCUUCAAAGCCUUUGGGUCUGUAUUGAAGGAAAUGGAUAUGAACUGAGCCUUGAGGCCCUUUUUGGAGAGCAAGGUUUCACCCCUGUCUCCAAGGCCUGUACUGGGCUGGUCUCAAGAUGCCAGACUCAGUCCAACAGGCCCCACAGGACCUCGUAAGAGACAUUGGACAGAACCUCCAAAAGCUUGUCAGGGAACUGCACUCAAGACACCGCUGAGGCCAUGGCCUACCUAAGGAUUCUUGGAGAUGAAGUUGGAUACAUCAAGUCCAGUGAGAUGGAGCACAUGGCCCCGGACCCUAGCUAUGAACUGACGUGUUCUUCAAGAUAAUGCCUCUUAAGGCCAUGCAGUCUCUGAUGUCCAGCGUUGACAAUGAGCUUCAUGCCCACUAUAUCUUCCUGGAUUAGAGUUUUCCCUUCCCUCUGUGUCUGGCUUACCCCUGAAAUUCUCCUUGUCUGGUGUCUUCGCCCCUGGAGCUAAGCGAGGUCUGAACUUUUCCCCUGGCAUGGAUAAUCUUUAUGAGACGACAGAGGGACGACAGAAAACGGACUAUCCCCGAGGGUGGAAGGUAUGUGUGUCCAAUGGAGAACAAAAUAAAUCAAAUUAAGACGGACAAAUGCCAUAAAUAUCCACAUAAAAUCAAUUGGGGUCUGCAGAGCGUUCUGAAAGUAUUCAGACCACUUGACUUGUUCCAUAUUUUGUUACUUUACAGCCUUAUUCUAAAAUUGAUUAAAUAAAAAAAUGUCUUCAAUCUACAAACAAUACUCCAUAAUGACAAAGCGAUAACAGGUUUUUUAGGAAUUUUAGCAAAUUCAUUAAAAAUUUAAACAGAAAUACCUUAUUUACUUAAGUAUUCAGACUCUUUGCUAUGAUACCUGAAAUUGAGCUCAGGUGCAUCAUGUUUCCAUUGAUCAUCCUUGAAAUCUUUCUACAACUUGAUUGGCAUCCACCUGUGGUAAAUCAAAUUGAUUGGAUAUUAUUUGGAAAGGCACACACGUUUUGUUUUGUGUCGAGGCAUAGAUCUGGGGAAGGGUACCAAAUAAUGUCUGCAGCAUUGAAGGUCCCCAAGAACAAAGUGGCCUCCAUUCUUAAAUGAGAAACGUUUGGAACCACCUCGAGUCUUCCGAGAGCUAGCUGCCCGGCCAAACUGAGCAAUCGGUCAGGGAGGUGACCAAGAACCCGAUGGUCCCUCUGACAGAACUCCAGAGUUACUCUGUGGAGAUGGGAGAACCUUCCAGAAGGACUACAAUAUCCGCAGCACUCCACCAAUCAGGCCUUUAUGGUAGAGGCUAGAUGGAAAACACUCAUCAGUAAAAGGCACAUGACAGUCCGCUUGGAGUUUGCCAAAAGGCAGUUAAAGACUCUCAAAACCAUGAGGAACAAGAUUGAACUCUUUGGCCUGAAUGCCAAGCAUCAUGUCUGGGAGGGAACUUGGCACCACCCCUACGUUGAAGUAUGGUGCUGGCAGCAUCAUGCUGUGGGGAUGUUUUUCAACGGCAGCGACUUGGAGACUAGUCAGGAUCGAGGAAAAGAUGAACGGAGCAAAGUAGAGAGAGAUCCUUGAUGAAAACGUACCCCAGAGCGCUCAGGAUCUCAGACUGGGGUGAAGGUUCACCUUCCAACAAGACAACGACCCUAAGCACACAGCCAAGACAACAAAUGAGUGGCUUUGCGUAAUGAAGGGGCGGUGAGUCGGAAGCAGGUGCAGGUGAAACAUUUUAAUAAAACAAAACCAAGAACAUGACACUAACAUAAGGCAGAACACCGAUACAGAAGAACAAUACCAACUGGUGAGUGAACAUGGGCGAGUAACAUAUAAAGGGGAGGAAAUAAAGGUAAUGGAGUCCAGGUGUGAAUCAUAAUGAUUAACAGGUGUGUGUAAUGAUGAGUGCCAGGUGUGCUCAAUGAUACAAUCCUAGGACCGGUGGUUAGUACUCUAGAGACGUCAUAUGCCUGGGGGGAGAAGCAGGAGCAGACAUAAUCCCCAGGAUGAAACACAGGGGUCUCACUGCGGUGACGGUCUGCCUGUUCCCUCUGACGAGGAACGGCGUGCUGGGGUCUCACGUGCGCAUUGUUCCACACCCCCUCCAUGUGCCGGAACUACUCAUCUACUACAGGAGCCACGGUCUGGCCCGGGGUCCAUGGGGCCAGGGCCGGCUGGAAACCCAAAACACACUGGAAGGGGUUCAACCCAGUCGAGAUGUGACGUAGAGAGUUCUGGGCAUAUUCUGCCCAAGGAAGAAAAUGUACCCACUCAGCCUGCCGGUCCUGACAGUGACUCCUCAGGAACCUCCCCAGCUCCUGAUUCAUCCUCUCCACCUGCCCGUUAGACUGAGGCUGAUAACCAGAUGUGAGGCUAACCGUGACCCCGAGCUUCUCUAAGAAGGCCCUCCAUACUCGGGAUGUGAAUUGGAGGCCACGGUCCGAGACGAUGUCCUUCGGAAGGUCAUAAUGCCAGAAGACCUGCUGGAAGACUGCCUCAGAAACCUGGAGAGCAGUGGGAAGACCAGGAAGAGGGGUGAAUCGACAUUACUUUGAAAAUCUAUCCACUACCACCAGAAUGGUGAUGAAACCAUCAGAAGGGGGAAGAUCAGUAACAAAGUCAAUGGAUAGAUGGAACCAAGGUUGCUGAGUCACAGGAAGUGGCAGGAGCGUCCCUGCUGCAGCAUUUCCGGGGGGGAAUUGGUUUGUGCACUCACGGAGCAGGAGUUGACAUACCGAGUAACAUCCUGCACCACAGUGGGCCACCAGUAUUUCUCAGUGAGGGAAUGGAUGGUGUGAGAAAUCCCUGGAUGUCCAGCAAUGACAGCUGUGUGCCCAGGUCAGCAGCCGAUCCCUUAUCCCUGUCGAAACGUAGAUGUGUGUGCCCAGGUCAGCAGCCGAUCCCUUAUCCCUGUCGAAACGUAGAUGUGUGUGCCCAGGUCAGCAGCCGAUCCCUUAUCCCUGUCGGAACGUAGAUGUGUGUGCUCAGGUCAGCAGCCGAUUCCUUAUCCCUGUUGGAACGUAGAUGUGUGUGCCCAGGUCAGCAGCCGAUCCCUUAACCGUGGGAACGUAGAUACGCACGGGAAGAUAAUUCUGGGGUGCGGGCUCCCUCUCUAGAGCCUGGUGAAUGUCCACAUCUACUUCCCAAACCACUGGACCCACGACUCGGGAUUAUGGGAUUAUGGGUGCCCUCUGGUUAGGACCCUCCCCUGAACCGUAAAUGUGGGACAGGGCAUCGACCUUGAUGCUCUUAGAACCUGGGCGAUAGGUCAGCAUGAAGUAGAACCUGGUGAAGAUGAGGGCCCACAUGGCUUGGCACAGAUUCAGUCUCCUCGCUGUCCGUAUGUACUCAAGGUUCAAUGGUCGGUGAGGAUGACGAAUGGUUCCUUGGUGCCCUCCAGCCAGUGUCUCCACUCCUCUAAUGUCAACUUCACCGCCAAGAGCUCCCAAUCUCCAAUGCCAUAAUUCCUCUCCGCGGGGGACAGUUUCUUGGAGAAGACAGCACAAGGAUACAGUUUUAAUGGGUCCCCCUGUCUUUGUGACUAAACUGCCCCCACACCCACCUCCGAUGCGUCAACCUCAACCACAAAUGGUAGAGUGUGAUCUGGGUGUUUUAGCAAGGGGGCGGAGGUGAUACGCUCCUUGAGGAGACGAAAGUCCUUGUCGGCUGCCGGAGACCAAACCAACCUACGAGGCCCACCCUUGAGGAGGGAGGUGAGAGGGGCGGCGACGGCACUGAAGUUCCUGAUGGAGCGGCGGUAAAAGUUGGCAAACCCCAAAAACCGUUGUAAUCCUUUGAUGGUGGUUGGGACUGGCCAUGACCUUAGCGCAUCUACCUUCUUGUCCUCCAUCCUCACUCCCUGCAGGCUGAUUUGGUAACCCAAGAAGGAGACAGCCCUCUGGUGGAAUUGGCACUUCUCCACCUUGAUGAACAGGUGGUUCGCCAAGACUGCUAUAACACGAGUAAUGUUAUCUUCCAGGUUGGUCGAGAAGAUCAGGAUGUCAGAGAUGUACAUAAUCACCUGACAUCUGAGCAUGUCCCUGAACACCUCGUUGACGAAUGCCUGGAACACUGACGGAGCAUUGAAGAACGGAGCAAAGAUGAACGGAGCAAAGUAGAGAGAGAUCCUUGGUGAAAACUUGCCCCAGAGCGCUCAUGUUCUGGGUCUCAGUCACCAACAGAGGGUAGAUGCAUCUGCGCGGAGGUGUAGCACCGGAAAACUAGUCAAUGGUAAAGUCCCAGGGCCGAUGAGGAGGGAGACAGGUAGCGCGGGUCUUGGAGGAUACCUCCCUUAGACCCUGAUAUUCCUCCGGGAUGUUGGGGCUGAAGGGCAACCACAGGACUCUCAACUGACGUGUAAACAGGGGACAGGAAAGCAGGUCUUCCGGCAUUCAGGUGACCAGUUGGUGAUUCUCAUCCUUGACCAUGAGAUGGUAGGGUUAUGGCGCUGAAGCCAAGGUAGGCCGAGGAUGAUCUUGUGAACUAGUGCACUGGAGAUGAAGGGGAUGUUUUCCUGGUGAUUGGGCUCCACGGUGAGGUUGAGUGGUUGGGUGAUGUGUGUGAUGGUUCCGGAUCCUAGAGAUCGACAGUAGAGACUUUGAACCGGUAAAGGAGAAGAGAGCGGGUAGGUAGUAAUAUUGAGAGAGGAGGCAAGGGUCUGAGUCCCCCGAGGCGCUGGAAUCCACUAAAGCUGUAGACACAGGGCAUGAGGGACAGGCAGCCAGAGUGAUGGUACUAAAAAUAAUCUAACUGGAAGAGCAGUAGAUGGAAUACUCACUCCUGGUCCAGGGGAUGUAACAUCACGUGACCCUCCCUCUGCACUAGUGGAUCCCGGAUUCUGAGGAAACGGACACCACUGGCGCUUGUGCCUUCCCUGGCCACAGUGCAGACAGAGCCCCAGCUGUAUCCGUCUGCGUCAUUCCGCCACGGGAAGGCGUGUGACCCCUACCUCCAUAGGUUCAGGCUCUGAUGCCAAACACUCACCGAAGGAGGGAGAGAAGCGAUGAAGAGGAGGUUAUCCAGAUGAAUGGCCAUCUCAAUGAGUGCGUCCAGGGUGAGGUUGUCAUCUCGGCUGGCCAGUUCCAUCUGGAUCUCCUCGCGCAGACCUCUUCUAAAUAACGUGCUGAGCGCCAACUCAUUUCAUCCACUGGUAGCUGCUACUGUCCGGAAGGUAAGUGCAUACUCAGCAGCUGUCUGAUUCCCCUGCUGGAGCUGAAGCAGAUGCUCACCUCCCUCUGUGCCCUCCGCGGGAUGAUCGAAAAUACAUGAACCCCUCAUAAAACCCAAGAAGACUAUCAAAAAGAAAAUAGCAAAAGGAGAAUGCGAAAAACACGCUGGUUGACUUGCCUAACAUACAAGACGAACUGGCACAGAGAAACAGGAAACACAGGGAUAAAUACACUUGGGGAAAUAAGAGACACCUGGAGGGAGUGGAGUCAAUCACAGGAACAGGUGAAACAGAUCAGGGCGACACAUAAGGCAGAAUGCCGAUACACAAGAACAAUACCAACUGGUGAGUGAACAUGGGAGAGUGACAUAUAAAGGGUAGGAAAUUAUGAAGGUAGUGGAGUCCAGGUUUGAAUCAUAAUGAUUAACAGGUGUGCGUAAUGAUGAGUGCCAGGGCCCUCAUUUAUCAAUGUUGCCUACAAACAGAAAUGUUCGUAAAACAUGCAUGCAGUAAUUUCUAAGCAAAGUGUGGGAUUUAUUCAUUUGUGCUUAUACUUGAGAAUGUGCGUAAAUAGAAGCACACCUCUGACCAUGCGUACACACAGCACCUUGUGGUAAAUAAGUGAAACUGCUAUUGAAAUACCAUCCACCAAAUGGAGAAAGGAUUGACAUACUGAUUCAAGUAAUAAACUAUGAAGAAAAAAUAUAAUACAUUAAUUUGUUUAUUCAUGUAAUUUCUUUCAUAGACACUUAUGCUACUAAUAGUUUUCUCAGGGUGCUAUCAAAUUCAUAAUAUGAACCCAUUUAAGCCUAAUUAAAUAAUAAAAUAAAUUAGUAAGGGAGUGGAAUGUAAGGUUGGAGGCAACCAGUUAAAUAAUAUUAAAGGCAACACUGAGGCAUCGUGACUUGUCCAACAUGGCAAAUCUUGCAUUGCUGGAGGAUCUGGCACAAGCUGCAUUAAGCAGGGAGCAUGUUUUCAGUGAGCGUGCAGAUGUUUUUGCUGAGAGCGACACUUGGCUUAUUAGUAGAUUUCAUUUUCCAAGGCAUAGUUUAUUGUAUCUCUGCAACCAACUCUCUCCAGUAUUAGAAAGGGAGACGAAACGCGCCAAUGCCAUCCCAGUGCAUACCCAAGUCCUCUCCACCCUGGGAUUUCUGGCCACUGGAACAUUCCAACUGGAGAUUGAGGACCGGUCUGACAUUUCACAACCAACCAUGAGCCGAAUAUUGCCUGCAGUCCUUCAUGGCAUUAUUUCAUUGACCCCACAAUACAUACAGUUUCCACUGCUGUGCAACAGGCCAGAGUGAAAAGGGAUUUCCAUACCAUAGCUGGAUUUCCCAAUGUCAUUGGAGCAAUUGACUGCACCCACAUCGCAAUAAAAGCACCAUCAUUGAACAAAUUCAACUUGUUCAACCGAAAAGGUUAUCAUUCUGUCAAUGUGCAGGUCCUCUGUGAUUCAAAUUUGGCUUUGUUGAAUAUAGUGGCCAAACGGCCAAGUGGGACACACGAUUCAUUCAUUGUGCAGGACAGUUCAGUCGGCCCUAACCUCCAGGAAGGAGCUGUUAAGGACGGAUGGCUUAUUGGUAAGUGACUUGUGUUUUAUUUGCAAGGUUUUAUUUGCCAUGUUAGACCUCUACUGGGAAACAAUAUCUGAAUGUUGUGUUCAAUACUGCAGGACACCGGGGCUACCCAUUAAAACCAUGGCUGAUGACUCCCCUCACAAACCCCUCAAACCAACAAGAGGCAAGGUACAACCAAGCCCACGCACGCACAAGAGCAACAGUGGAGCGCACCAUAGGCCUGCUGAAAGGGCAUUGUCUGACUGCAAUACCAGCCUAGCAAGGUUUGCUACAUUGUCAAGGCUUGCAGUGUGCAACACUGCAAUCAAAAAUGGCAUUCCCCUGAAUGAUCCACCCAUACCCACUCGCCAAAGAGGACACCCUUCUUGUAGGCCUGGGGAUGAGGGGUCAGCCAAAUCACCCACAUCUGUCAAGAUUUCAUGUUUUGUUAUUUUUGUUAUUUUAAUUUUGUUACAUUUAUUUUGUUAUAUUUAUUGUCAAGAAAAAAUAUUGAGAUGUGGUCCAUGUCUGAAUAUAGUUGCAAAAAUAAAGCUUGACUUACCAUCA